rnacentral:snoRNA from 1 species
AUGCAGCCAGCUAAGCUGAGUGUGCACUCUGCCUCGGGGACCGUAACUGCAAACAGCAGCCGCCCUGCUGGUGUCCACAAACCUGAGGGUUGUAUGGGCUGAUCUAAGGGACCUAGGGGGCAGUU